AGAUAUUUGGGAUGAGGCAGCAUGCUGGUCCCUCAGCAGCAUCCUUAUCACGUCAGCUGUGAGAGAAAUAAAACUGUGAGACUGUGAAGUGUAUAAAGGAUUCUACCGCUCUCCCGGGGCUUGGAGACCCACAGAUUGGAGAAACCCUCUUGCCAUGUGCUACCUUUUGCCAUGUUAUGAAGGGGCAAGAAGGCCCUAACCAGAUGCAGCCCCUCGAACUGGG
rnacentral:lncRNA from 10 species